AUGGUCAUCGUUUUAUGUAAUCUUUGAAUUAUUGAUUCGGAGUGUUUGGGACUCCGAUUCUCGAUCUAUGAGUUCCUACAAGAUCCUAGAGGUACAUAGAUCAACAUACUUGAAAAUGGAGCCAAUCCAAUGGUCCAAACAUAUCGAACCCAAAUAUCGCCUAAUAUGCGUAAAUCCGUUCGACCGCCAAAUGACAACCAAAUUCGAAUUCAAGCAUACCGUCAUGCUCGGGACGACAUGGGAAAUAUUUUAGGACAAAAUAGGC
rnacentral:lncRNA from 1 species